UACGAAGGGGACUAGCGUUGUUCGGAUUUACUGGGCGUAAAGCGCGCGUAGGCGGAUCGCUAAGUCAGGGGUGAAUCCCAGGGCUCAACCCUGGAACUGCCUUUGAUACUGACGGUCUGGAGAUCGGGAGAGGUUGGUGGAAUUCCGAGUGUAGAGGUGAAAUUCGUAGAUAUCAAGCGGAACACCGGUGGCGAAGGCGGCCUUCUGGACAGUGACUGACGCUGAGACGCGAAAGCGUGGGGAGCAAACAGG
rnacentral:rRNA from 1 species